rnacentral:rRNA from 1 species
CCCUUAGAUGUUCUGGGCCGCACACGCGCUACACUGAAGGAGGCAGCGUGUACUCCUGGAUCGAAAGAUUUGGGUAACCCGCGAAUCUCCUUCGUGCUAGGGAUUGAGGUUUGCAAUUAUCCUUCAUGAACGAGGAAUUCCCAGUAAGUGCAAGUCAUAAGCUUGCGCUGACUACGUCCCUGCCCUUUGUACACACCGCCCGUCGCUACUACCGAUUGAAUGAUGUAGUGAGGACUUCGGACUGGGACCGAUGCGGCUUUCGGGCUGCGUCGGUAUUCUGGAAAGAUGUCCAAACUGUAUCAUUUAGAGGAAGUAAAAGUCGUAACA